UGAGUGGCGGACGGGUGAGUAACGCGUGGGCAACCUGGCCUGUACAGGGGGAUAACACUUAGAAAUAGGUGCUAAUACCGCAUAACGGGGGAAGCCGCAUGGCUUUUCCCUGAAAACUCCGGUGGUACAGGAUGGGCCCGCGUCUGAUUAGCCAGUUGGCAGGGUAACGGCCUACCAAAGCGACGAUCAGUAGCCGGCCUGAGAGGGCGGACGGCCACACUGGGAAUGAGACACGGCCCAGACUCCUACGGGAGGCAGCAG
rnacentral:rRNA from 1 species